GAUGAACGCUAGCUACAGGCUUAACACAUGCAAGUCGAGGGGUAACGAGAGGAAAGCUUGCUUUCCUUGUCGACGACCGGCGCACGGGUGAGUAACGCGUAUCCAACCUGCCCCCAACUAGGGAAUAACCUUGCGAAAGUAAGACUAAUACCCUAUAAUUUCCUCAGAUGUCAUCUGACGAGGAAUAAAGAUUUAUCGGUUGUGGAUGGGGAUGCGUCUGAUUAGCUUGUUGGCGGGGUAACGGCCCACCAAGGCAACGAUCAGUAGGGGUUCUGUGAGCAAGGUCCCCCACAUUGGAACUGAGACACGGUCCAAACUCCUACGGGAGGCAGCAGUGAGGAAUAUUGGUCAAUGGGCGGAAGCCUGAACCAGCCAAGUAGCGUGCAGGAUGACGGCCCUAUGGGUUGUAAACUGCUUUCAUACAGGAAUAAAGUUAGCCACGUGUGGUUAUUUGUAGGUACUGUAUGAAUAAGGACCGGCUAAUUCCGUGCCAGCCGCCGCAGUAA
rnacentral:rRNA from 1 species